rnacentral:rRNA from 1 species
AUUGAACGCUGGCGGCAGGCCUAACACAUGCAAGUCGAAUGGUAACAGGAAACAGCUUGCUGUUUCGCUGACGAGUGGCGGACGGGUGAGUAAUGUCUGGGAAACUGCCUGAUGGAGGGGGAUAACUACUGGAAACGGUAGCUAAUACCGCGUAACGUCGCAAGACCAAAGAGGGGGACCUUCGGGCCUCUUGCCAUCAGAUGUGCCCAGAUGGGAUUAGCUAGUAGGUGGGGUAACGGCUCACCUAGGCGACGAUCCCUAGCUGGUCUGAGAGGAUGACCAGCCACACUGGAACUGAGACACGGUCCAGACUCCUACGGGAGGCAGCAGUGGGGAAUAUUGCACAAUGGGCGCAAGCCUGAUGCAGCCAUGCCGCGUGUAUGAAGAAGGCCUUCGGGUUGUAAAGUACUUUCAGCGGGGAGGAAGGGAGUAAAGUUAAUACCUUUGCUCAUUGACGUUACCCGCAGAAGAAGCACCGGCUAACUCCGUG